AAGCACCUUGGCUCCCUGCUUUGCACACAGGAUGGUCAGGGUACACGUUGUGUGACAGGAGAGGGAUGAGAAGAAGGAAGACCAAGAGACUGCCACGGCAAAGGGGUCUAGCCUGCCCUGCCCCAUGCCUUUAGGUGUCAAUCUGUCAAGCGUAGAAGAAGAAAUUGCAGUGCAGCUCUUUCUUUAAAAGCAGCGCCGUGCAGAAGCAGGAGCCCGGAGGAAGUGCCGGGGCGGUUUGGGAGCGCCGUGUCCCCUCUAGUGGGGUCUGCGGAGAACUGAUGGAGCACAGGAGAGAGUCCUCAGCUUCUCAGCCGAUGGGAAAGGAGAGGACAGUCUCCCCCUCCCUC